rnacentral:tRNA from 1 species
GAUUUGAUAAGCUAAAUUUUAAGCUAGUGGGUUCAUACCCCAAUCAUGAGAAACUUCUCUCAAAUCA